rnacentral:pre_miRNA from 11 species
UGUGCAUCACAGUCAAACGCCCAAAUUCCCAUGGUGGCUGUUCAUGAACCUUGGUUGUUUAAGCAUGUACCAUAAUUUCAC